UUUAUACCUAACACUUACAAAGUUUCAGCCAGAACGACGUAGCUAGGUUUUAUCUUGAAGUCUGUUUCAGAGCUAAUAUGAAGGAAUGUGGGACUAUUAUCUUCCCCUGUGCUUCUUGAAGUUGGUGUGACUGUGAUCUGAUUUGGUCGACAUAAUGUGAGAAGUCUGUCACUUCCAAGCAGCAUCAUUUAAUUGCUGCUGCGUGCUUCUCUAUCUUCUCUUCUCUGUUGCAACAAAUCCUGGAGCCUUGUGACGAUCAUAAAAUGGGAACAUCUUUGUUAUCCCAGGUCCUGCACGGUAACUGUGUGAAGCACAGCCCUCACCCCUCUGGCUGGACAUGUUGCGUGAGCAAGAAAUAAAUCUUAGUUGUUCUAGGUCA